CAACUCUCAACAACGGAUAUCUUGGCUCCCGUAACGAUGAAAAACGCACCGAAAUGCGAUACGUAGUGUGAAUUGCAAAAUUCCGUGAACCAUCGAAUCUUUGAACGCAUAUUGCGCCUGAGGCUUCGGCCGAGGGCAUGUCUGCCUCACCGUCG
rnacentral:rRNA from 1 species